rnacentral:rRNA from 1 species
UGGGGAAUCUUGGACAAUGGGNGNAACCCCGAUCCAGCAAUAUCGCGUGAGUGAAGAAGGGCAAUGCGGCUUGUAAAGCUCUUUCGUCGAGUGCGCGAUCACGACAGGACUCGAGGAAGAAGCCCCGGCUAACUCCGU